rnacentral:rRNA from 1 species
ACGGAAGGCAGCAGUGGGGAAUAUUGGGCAAUGGGCGCAAGCCUGACCCAGCAACGCCGCGUGAAGGAAGAAGGCUUUCGGGUUGUAAACUUCUUUUGUGAGGGACGAGAAGAAGACGGUACCUCAUGAAUAAGCCACGACUAACUACGUGCCAGCAGCCGCGGUAAUACGUAGGUGGCAAGCGUUGUCCGGAUUUACUGGGUGUAAAGGGCGUGUAGCCAGGCCGGCAAGUCAGAUGUGAAAUCCAUGGGCUUAACUCAUGAACUGCAUUUGAAACUGUAGCCCUUGAGUAUCGGAGAGGCAAGCGGAAUUCCUAGUGUAGCGGUGAAAUGCGUAGAUAUUAGGAGGAACACCAGUGGCGAAGGCGGCUUGCUGGACGACAACUGACGCUGAGGCGCGAAAGCGUGGGGAGCAAACAGGAUUAGAUACCCUGUA